rnacentral:rRNA from 1 species
CCGUCUUGGUCCNUUAGAGGAAGUAAAAGUCGUAUCACGGUCUCUUUAGGUAAGCUGCGGAGGGAUCAUUUUUGAGUGAAAGGGCUGGCAAUCCAGUCGCGGAGGAGAUCUUGGUCAUUUAGAGGAAGUAAAAGUCGUAACAAGGUUUCCGUAGGUGAACCUGCGGAAGGAUCAUUACCGGGUUUCGCCGGGGGGGAAGUCCCCCGGAACUCCCAACCCUUGCUUACCCACCACGUUGCUUCGGCGGGCCCGGGCGCCCGACGCCCCGCCCAUACGCGGCGAGCGCCCGCCGGAGACAUGCAGAAACUCUGGUUGUCGUCACUGCAGUCUGAGCGAACGAGAAACAAGUAAAAACUUUCAACAACGGAUCUCUUGGUUCUGGCAUCGAUGAAGAACGCAGCGAAAUGCGAUAAGUAAUGUGAAUUGCAGAAUUCAGUGAAUCAUCGAAUCUUUGAACGCACAUUGCGCCCCUCGGCACUCCGAGGGGCAUGCCUGUUCGAGCGUCAUUUCACCAGUCGAGCCCAGCUCGGUGUUGGGUCCCGUCCUCCCCGGACGGGCCUCAAAGCCCCCGGCCGCGCGGUCCCGCUUCAGGCGUAGCAGAGCUUUCCGCAGCCUCGCCUUGGAAGCCGGUGGCCGCGUCGAGCCGCGAAAGCGGACCUUCCAUCACAAAAAAAGGUUGACCUCGGAUCAGGUAGGGAUACCCGCUGAACUUAAGCAUAUCAAUAGCGGGAGGAAGGCUUCAUGAUCCUCUGCUAUCUAAAUGUCUUUAUCGGACGAUAUGAUAAACUUGACCUCAAAUCAGGUAGGACUACCGAGCUGAACUUAAGCAUAUCAAUAAGCGGAGGAA